AGUGAACGCUGGCGGUAGGCCUAACACAUGCAAGUCGAACGGCAGCACAGGAGAGCUUGCUCUCUGGGUGGCGAGUGGCGGACGGGUGAGGAAUACAUCGGAAUCUACUCUGUCGUGGGGGAUAACGUAGGGAAACUUACGCUAAUACCGCAUACGACCUACGGGUGAAAGCAGGGGACCUUCGGGCCUUGCGCGAUUGAAUGAGCCGAUGUCGGAUUAGCUAGUUGGCGGGGUAAAGGCCCACCAAGGCGACGAUCCGUAGCUGGUCUGAGAGGAUGAUCAGCCACACUGGAACUGAGACACGGUCCAGACUCCUACGGGAGGCAGCAGUGGGGAAUAUUGGACAAUGGGCGCAAGCCUGAUCCAGCCAUACCGCGUGGGUGAAGAAGGCCUUCGGGUUGUAAAGCCCUUUUGUUGGGAAAGAAAUCCAGCUGGCUAAUACCCGGUUGGGGUGACGGUACCCAAAGAAUAAGCACCGGCUAACUUCGUGCCAGCAGCAGCCGCCG
rnacentral:rRNA from 1 species